UACGUAGGCAGCGAGCGUUGUUCGGAGUUACUGGGCGUAAAGGGUGUGUAGGCGGUUCUUUUAAGUUUGGUGUGAAAUCUCCCGGCUCAACCGGGAGGGUGCGCCGAAUACUGAGGGACUAGAGUAUGGGAUGGGAAAGUGGAAUUCCCGGUGUAGAGGUGAAAUUCGUUAGAUAUCGGGAGGAACACCAGUGGCGAAGGCGGCGACCUGGACGGACACUGACGCUGAGACGCGAAAGCGUGGGGAGCAAACAGG
rnacentral:rRNA from 1 species